rnacentral:rRNA from 1 species
AAGGGUUUGAUCCUGGCUCAGAUUGAACGCUGGCGGCAGGCCUAACACAUGCAAGUCGAGCGGAUGAAGGGAGCUUGCUCCUGGAUUCAGCGGCGGACGGGUGAGUAAUGCCUAGGAAUCUGCCUGGUAGUGGGGGAUAACGUCCGGAAACGGGCGCUAAUACCGCAUACGUCCUGAGGGAGAAAGUGGGGGAUCUUCGGACCUCACGCUAUCAGAUGAGCCUAGGUCGGAUUAGCUAGUUGGUGGGGUAAAGGCCUACCAAGGCGACGAUCCGUAACUGGUCUGAGAGGAUGAUCAGUCACACUGGAACUGAGACACGGUCCAGACUCCUACGGGAGGCAGCAGUGGGGAAUAUUGGACAAUGGGCGAAAGCCUGAUCCAGCCAUGCCGCGUGUGUGAAGAAGGUCUUCGGAUUGUAAAGCACUUUAAGUUGGGAGGAAGGGCAGUAAGUUAAUACCUUGCUGUUUUGACGUUACCAACAGAAUAAGCACCGGCUAACUUCGUGCCAGCAGCCGCGGUAAUAC